rnacentral:lncRNA from 1 species
UAACACUCUAGCCAUCCUUCCCUUUGGUCCUGCCUCACCAUCUGGAGAGUCUCCUUGGGUAGUUCUCUGCCAUGUGAGGACACUGUCUCUUCACUCUGGAGAAUGCAGCAUUCAAUGUUCCCCCUUGGAAGUAGAGACUUGACCCCCACCAGAAGCCUGAAGCUGCUGACAUGUUGAUUUUGGACUUCCCUGUCUCCAGAACUAGAGAAGGUGACCAUUUGCAAGUCAGGAAGAAGGCCUUCACCAGAACCCAACCAUGCUGGCACUCUGAUCUCAGACUCCAGUCUCUGGAAAUGUGAGAAAAUAAAUGUCUGUUAUUUUAGAUGCUUAGUCUAUGGUAUUCUGUCAUUGCAGCCCCAGUUGAACAAGAUAG